UUUACCCCAACCUGCUUCAUCCCCAACAUCAGUAGGCAGAACAGGCAAGAUGGCGGCCGGUUCAGGAGCAGCAAGCGGACAGGGAGCCCGCAGCUCCACUGCUUCUUUGGAAGCCUCACUGGACCGCCGUUUUCAAAAAGUUUCCAACACUAUGGAGUCUAUACAGAGCCUCUCGGCUUGGUGCAUUGAAAACAAGAAACACCACGGCCUUAUUGUUCGCUACUGGAUGAAGUGGUUGAAGAAAUCCGACCACAAUCAUCGCUUGAAUCUUUUCUACCUUGCCAACGAUGUGAUCCAGAACUGCAAAAGAAAAAACGCCAUUGUGUUCCGCUCGGCUUUCUCCGAUGUCCUUCCAAAUGCUGCCCUCCUCAUUAAAGAUGGAAAAGUCCGCAAAUCGGUUGAAAGGAUUUUUACCAUCUGGGAGGAGAGGAAUGUGUAUCCGGAGGAGGUGAUUUCCCAGUUCAAAGCCGGCUUGCACAAAAAAGAAAAAGAGCGAGAGAAGCAAAAGGAAAAGGAAAAAGAAAAAGAAGAGCAAAAAGAAAAGGAGACACCACCAGGAAACGCUACAGCCAGUUUAAAAGCAGUCAGCAAUAAAGCUCCAAGCACUAAAGCUGCACUGAAGUCCAAGAUUGUUGCAGAGUUUACACCUCACUCCCUUAUUGAGCAGCUGUCCAGAUACAGGCAAGCUGCUGCUGAGGAGCAGAUCAGAGAGAAACAGCUGGAAACUCUCAGGGUGGACGUCUGCAGCACAGAGGCCUUCAAAAGACUUAAAGACAAAGCAGGAGGAAAUAAAUUUGCCAAAGACUUUGAAGAUGGAUGUCUGAAACUGCAGGACUUUGUCAGCUUCCUGGAAAAAGAGCUAAAAACGGGACCUCCUCUGCUGGAAGCUCUCGGAAAUGCAGAUAUCUUCUAUGAAAUGCAGUACAAGGAGGUUAAGAUUGUCGCUAAUGCGUACAAUGCCUUUGCUAACCGAGUAAAUGGCCUCAAAAAGAAACUGGAUUCUCUUAAGGCGACACUAUCUGGGCCAGAGGACUCUCCCAUCCCCUCUCCCUCAGAAGACGCUCCCUCACCCACUGGGUCCGACUCACCCUUUCUGGAAAUGGAAACCACCAGGGCCAAGGUGGAUCCAGAGCUGGAUGGCAAGGCUAUGGAUGAAGCAGACCUUCAAAACGACAACAGAGACAUGGAAGACAUGGAUAUGUCUGAUGAGGAGGUGUGCACUGCUGCCUCACAGGAUGACAAGGACGAUGAGCCACCUGUGUCUAUUUCCAAGACAAAGUCCGAUGCAGCAUCAAAACCUCAAAACGCGCUUACAAAACCAUCCAAGCCCAGCCCUUCUGCUGUCACCACGGCAACCACAGUGACUCCUGCCCCGGCAAAAGCAACAGCUGCCCCCACCACCCCUCUGGGAGUGAAUCUGGCCAAAGUGGACCUGGGGAAGAUCAGCUCCAUCCUCAGCUCGCUUACAUCUGCCAUGAAGAACACAGCACCUACUCCGGCUCCUCGACCAUCUCCUGGAACGCCCACCACCCCUACAGGCCAAGCCACUGUCUCCAAGGCGACCCCUCCGAGUCCUGCUCUGGCUAGCAUCCUGUCACGAGUUGACAUAACCCCUGAAGGGAUACUAAACGCUUUGUCUAAAACUAACACAUCAGGUUUAUCAUCUCUACUUCAAAGUGUGACCCAGACUUCUGCCACUAACUCCAACAGAACCUCCCCAGAAUCAACAAGUGUCAAACCCCCAGUAACCCCAACCACCCCAAAGAUUAAAUCCCCUCUCCGAUAUAGUCUAAAACAAGAGGAGCCAGUUAAGGCCAGAGACUGGGAGAAGGAUAAGCGGCUCUCCCCUCCUCCACCACCUCCUCGUUCUUCAGCUCCCUCUGUCUCUCCUCCCAGCUUAGAGUCCAAGAUCAACAGUUUCUUGCAGGGUAAUCCAGGUUUCAGCCUGGCCCUGGGUGAUGCUAGUCCUGAUGGGGUUGAUGGCACCCCGGUGAGGGACGAGACGGCUGGGACCCCGACGCAGGAUGAGAUCAUGGACACUCCCAGCGGCAUGCCAGACUCUUUGGGUUCAUCCGGAAGCCACAACCUCUCACCAACAGCCUACCGCAAUGAUCCUUGGGAUGCUGCAGUCACCUCUUCUGGAAGCAGCAACAAUGGAGACUUUCUUGGCUCCUCUUCUAGAUUUGGUGCAGGAAAAAGGAGCAGCAGUAAGUUAAAUGAAGACGAAUUGAUAAGGAGGCAGAAGUCCUCUUCCCCUGGCAGUGACUUGAAGGGUAAGAACAGUAGAGCCAUGGGAGAGCGGAGAGUCUCUGCCAGCUCUCGGAAGGCGAGCACAGGAUCCGAUGAUGGAAAAAAAGAAAAGGACAAUGGUAAAGAGUUAUCAGCAGGAGAUGCAAAGGAAGGUCAGUACCACCGCAUUGAGACAUUGGUGUCACCCCACACUGAAGGGGCGCCAAUCCAGACUCUGGGCUACUCAAACCGUGCACCUGCUGGAGAACGAAUCAAGACAGUUGAGAGCAUCCGUGUCAUUGGCCGAGGCUCUCGGCGAGGGGGAGGAGCUGGGAAUCGGCCAGGUGCUUCGAUGUGGUACAAAGAGGAAGAAUACUUGGAUGGUCAGCCUCCUUCACCACACGUUAUACCCCCUCCUAUUAACAUGGGAGGUAGUGAAGACCUAAACCCCUCAAUGCUUCCUCCACCCCCUCCUCCCCCUCCUCCUCCACCACCUCAGACUCCAUUCCCAAUGCCGUACCACACUGAAAACAUGCAGACUCCUCCUCCAUCACUCCUCCAGCCUCAUCUUCCUCCUUCAUCUCCCUCUUUUACUGCUGUUCCCCCGCUUCCUCGACUGCCCCCGCCACCACCACCUCCUCACCCUGCUCUGCCCCACAGCGUGAUGGUGGGGGGAAUGUUGGUCCCUGUGGAUCUUCCAUUGUCUGCGCCCCCACCUUCUCCUCACCCUGCUCUGCCCCACAGUGUCAUGGUGGGGGGAAUGAUGGUCCCAGUGGAUCUCCCAAUGUCUGUUCCACCAUCCUUUAGACCUGAGGGUGCAGAGCGUGGCAGGAUGGGGCACAGAGGACAGAAGAUGACCCCACCACCACUCAUGUCAUCGCUGCUAGGCGAGCACCCUAAGCUACCCCGUCCCGGCACAGUCAAAGAGCCUUUAAUCCCUCGCCAUACACCCCCUCUCCACCGCCCAGGUACGCCUGGCAUUCCUCCACCUCUACUCGGCAGAGUGAAGGAGCCUUUGAUUUUACCUCUCCCCUCACCCACAUCCUCCACCCCCUCUCCCUCCACGCCCAAUUCCCCCGCAGCAGACCACGCCGCCCCUAAAGCCCCACCCAGUCCGCCAGCUCAGUCCCACAACCCAAACUCCAAACCAGUCCCCCUCCUCAACCUACCCGCUUCCCGACCCCCGAUCCUCCCCACUCCCAUGCAGCAGAGACCCCCGCUGCGAGGCCGAAGCCUGUCUCAAGACCAUCCCAGAGGUGGGUUUCAUGGAGGGAAGCGAUCCGGCCCCCCGUUCCCCGGCGGUCCCUUCCAUGCUCAGAAGAGGCCUUACCUACCCCCACGCUACUGAAGUGGCUGACUAUGACAAGCUGAAUGAGAAGUGCAAGCCACACAUCUAACAGUGCAGUGUGUGUUAGCCCUGCUGGUGAAUUUAACGCUUGUUCUGAUACCUGGAAUACCUGCUGUACAAAUUCUUCUCUUGCUAAACCUUUUUGCAUCCAUCUAUUGCUCCCUCUGUAUAUUUCUGACCUUGUAAAUAUAAAGAGUGACUGAGUUGAUAUACAGUUUUUUUCUUCAAGCUUUUUUUCUAAAAAGAAAAAAAAAGUCAAAUGAUCAUUAUAUAUAUCUCACUUUCAAUGAGGUUGAGGUAUUUGGAGAAACUUAACACUGAACUUUUUUUCCUGCAGUGAUUUGCAUAAUUUACUUUCUAUCCCUUUUAAAACCCUUAAGACAAGUGUUGGGAUAAUUAUGAUCUCUUGUCAUGGACCUCAAAGUCCACCUAUGUCCUUUUUUUAAAAACUUGGUUCAUUAAUACACUGAGCAGCAGAAAGGGAAAGAAGCAUUAGGUUGGCCUACUCUACCACUAUUGCUACGGUUCACAGUGUUUUAAUUUGAAUAAAAUCAAGAGUUUAAUUUGAGUAAUAAGUCAUUUAUCGCUUGAAUUAAAUCAUGUUAUCGGGCUACAUUUAGAUAGGAGUAAUGUUAUGGUAGCCCAGUGGCAGAUAUUCACACAUUUCUAAAAUGAUUCUGUCUUUUAGUGCAGUAGCAUAAUCCUAUACUGUCAAUUUACCAAUUAGACAUUUCAUUUUAGUAUUCAAAUGAUUGAAACAGAACUAGUGGCACGCAUUCUUAAACCAGUUCUGUUAAUACUUUAAUCCUCUUUCUUUCUCUAAUAGUGUUAACUUUUCACAUCUGUGAAGCUUACGAUGAAGGAGCUCUCAACCGUUCAUCUUUACACCAAUUCAAAGUCUGAAAAAAGCAAAUGACUUCUGUUAAAGUCUUUGUAGAGUUGAGCAAUGUCCAUUUGUUUGUUUUGGAAGGAUUGAAAUUUGCUUUUCUUUUACAGCACUCCUUAAUAACCCAGUAGAAUAUAGAUGAUCUUUAAUGGUGUUUAUGGAAAACAGGUUACCCCUAAUGUUUUUUAUUUUUAUUUUAUUUCCUUUUAAGACUAUUUGGCUCCUGGGUAAGUUAACUAUGGGUCAAAGUCCAGUUGCUAAAACAUCUGGGUCUCAUUUAUACCCCAAGGCAACAGGAAGUUAUGAUUCAAAAUGACCUCCGAUUAACUUGAGUUGCAUUCAGUUAUAAGGUCUUAUAACUUUAUAACUAAUUAGGAGCACCAACAGACAAGGCAAAGUGAUUAUGUUUAGAAGAGGGAAAAAAACUUAUUUAAAUGGACCUUUAUUCAAAAUAAGUGUACUUGAAAUAAAGGUUUGGUUACUCUUAAUGUGUCAGUAUAAGGUUAUGCUACAGCAGCGACAGCUGAAUUUAAUGGAAGACUUUUGCUGUAUUUUUCAUUGCAUAUACACAGGUUUCACUAAUUUGUUUUUCUCCCAGUAUUUAUGAAUAUAUUUAUAUAUAUAAAUCUUUUUUUCUUUCUGUUGCUCAAUUUUUCUGCUUCCAGCCCCUGUUAUUUCUUAAAGCACUCUCUGCACCUCUUGUUCAUCAGAAUGCAAACAAAGUAGUAUUUCUUCCGGUUCUUCAGGAGUUGUUUCAAAGAUUUAAUCGUCCGUAGCCCCCUUAUGAGAGGCCCAGAUUUGUGUGCUCUAAGCCCUCUUAUCAGAUCUUUUUAUCUGUCUGCAGAUCAAGAUUAAAUACUGAUUGCUCACAAUUGCUUCACAUUCUGCAUGAAAUUGAUGAUAGGCAAGUUUUAAAAUGUAAUCAAAGUGUUACCACAGUGUUCACAAUUUCUGUUUCACUCCACUGCUAGGAUUGCUGUACAGUCACUUCUGCAGUUAACCCAGCUAAUUUACCUUAGAACGGUUACACUACAUUAAAGGUCUGCAGGGUUAGUUUUGAAGUAUCUGCAAGCAAACAUGUUCAACUUCUUUCUUUAAUCUUUGUAAACGUUUGUUUUUUCCUUCUUUUCACAUCAAGAUUUUUUUUUAUUUAAAAAAAGUUUGUUUGAUAAAUGACUGACGAUGUACUGAAGCUGAUGGUCUGUAUAUAUAUUUGACAAAUUUAACUGCUGUUCUCAUCAAUGAUGCUUAUAUUACUGGUC